rnacentral:rRNA from 1 species
GUUUCAGCAGCCGCGGUAAUACGUAGGGGGCGAGCGUUGUCCGGAUUUACUGGGCGUAAAGAGCGUGUAGGCGGCCAGGCCGGUCUGUUGUGAAAACUGGAGGCUCAACCUCCAGACGUCGACAGAAACCGCUUGGCUAGAGUCCGGAAGAGGAGAGUGGAAUUCCUGGUGUAGCGGUGAAAUGCGCAGAUAUCAGGAAGAACACCGAUGGCGAAGGCAGCUCUCUGGGACGGUACUGACGCUGAGACGCGAAAGCGUGGGGAGCGAACAGGAUUAGAAACCCUAGUAGUCC